AAUGAACGCUUGCGGCGUGCCUAAGACAUGCAAGUCAAACGGGAAAGUUUCUUCGGAAAUGAGUACAGUGGCGCACGGGUGAGUAAUACUUGGGUAACUUACCCUCUCGAGGGGGAUAACUGGGGGAAACUCCAGCUAAUACCGCGUACUCCGUUUGGGACUCCGGUCCUGACCGGGAAAGUCGUAAGACGCGAGAGGAGAGGCCCGAGCCCCAUUAGCUAGUUGGUAGGGUAAAAGCCUACCAAGGCUACGAUGGGUAGCUGGUCUGAGAGGAUGAUCAGCCACACUGGGACUGAGACACGGCCCAGACUCCUACGGGAGGCAGCAGUAGGGAAUCUUCCACAAUGGACGAAAGUCUGAUGGAGCAACGCCGCGUGAGUGAUGAAGGUUUUCGGAUCGUAAAACUCUGUUGUUAGGGAAGAACACCCGGGAGAGGAUCCCGGAUUGACGGUACCUGACGAGAAAGCCCCGGCUAACUACGUGCCAGCCGCCGCGGUAA
rnacentral:rRNA from 1 species